rnacentral:tRNA from 1 species
UCCCUGGUGGUCUAGUGGUUAGGACUCGGCACUGUCACUGCUGCAGUCCAAGUUCAAUUCUGGGCUGGGAAC